rnacentral:rRNA from 1 species
GAUGAACGCUGGCGGCGUGCCUAAUACAUGCAAGUCGAGCGAACGGACGAGAAGCUUGCUUCUCUGAUGUUAGCGGCGGACGGGUGAGUAACACGUGGAUAACCUACCUAUAAGACUGGGAUAACUUCGGGAAACCGUAGCUAAUACCGGAUAAUAUUUUGAACCGCAUGGUUCAAAAGUGAAAGACGGUCUUGCUGUCACUUAUAGAUGGAUCCGCGCUGCAUUAGCUAGUUGGUAAGGUAACGGCUUACCAAGGCAACGAUGCAUAGCCGACCUGAGAGGGUGAUCGGCCACACUGGAACUGAGACACGGUCCAGACUCCUACGGGAGGCAGCAGUAGGGAAUCUUCCGCAAAGGGCGAAAGCCUGACGGAGCAACGCCGCGUGAGUGAUGAAGGUCUUCGGAUCGUAAAACUCUGUUAUUAGGGAAGAACAUAUGUGAAAGUAACUGUGCACAUCUUGACGGUACCUAAUCAGAAAGCCACGGCUAACUACGUG